rnacentral:rRNA from 1 species
UCGGGAAUUUUGGGCAAUGGGGGAAACCCUGACGCAGCAACGCCGCGUGAGUGACGAAGGCCUUCGGGUCGUAAAGCUCUGUCGGAGGGGAAGAAACUACCAAUGGCUAACAUCCAUAGGUAUUGACGGUACCCUCAAAGGAAGCACCGGCUAACUCCGUGCCAGCAGCCGCGGUAAUACGAAUUGUGCGAACGUUAUUCGGAAUCACUGGGCUUAAAGGGUGCGUAGGCGGCCAUGAAGGUCUGAUGUGAAAUCCCACGGCUCAACCGUGGAAUUGCGUUGGAAACCACAUGGCUUGAGUAGGACAGAGGUGAGCGGAACUGAUGGUGGAGCGGUGAAAUGCGUUGAUAUCAUCAGGAACACCGGUGGCGAAAGCGGCUCACUGGGUCCUAACUGACGCUGAGGCACGAAAGCCAGGGGAGCAAACGGGAUUAGAUACCCUAGUAGUCCCUGAGCGGGCUGGCAAGGCGCAU